rnacentral:rRNA from 1 species
GAUGAACGCUGGCGGCGUGCUUAACACAUGCAAGUCGAACGAUGAAGCCCAGCUUGCUGGGUGGAUUAGUGGCGAACGGGUGAGUAACACGUGAGUAACCUGCCCUUAACUCUGGGAUAAGCCUGGGAAACUGGGUCUAAUACCGGAUAGGAGCGUCCACCGCAUGGUGGGUGUUGGAAAGAUUUAUCGGUUUUGGAUGGACUCGCGGCCUAUCAGCUUGUUGGUGAGGUAAUGGCUCACGAAGGCGACGACGGGUAGCCGGCCUGAGAGGGUGACCGGCGACACUGGGACUGAGACAGGGCCCAGACUCGUACGGGGGGCAGCGGUGGGAAAUAUUGCGCAAUGGGGGCAAGCCUGAUGCGGCGACGCCGCGUGAGGGAUAACGGCUUUCGGGUUGAAAACCACUUUCAGAGGGGAAAAGGCGAAAGUGACGGUACCUGCAGAAGAAGCACCGGCUAACUACGUG